CCCUUAGAUGUUCUGGGCCGCACGCGCGCUACACUGACGAAUGCAACGAGCUUAUAACCUUGGCCGAAAGGUCUGGGUAAUCUCCAAAUUUCGUCGUGAUGGGGAUAGAUUAUUGCAAUUAUUAAUCUUCAACGAGGAAUGCCUAGUAAGCGCAAGUCAUCAGCUUGCGUUGAUUACGUCCCUGCCCUUUGUACACACCGCCCGUCGCUCCUACCGAUUGAAUGGUCUGGUGAAGCGCUCGGACCGCGGCCUCUUGACGGUUCGCUGUCGAUUGGCUGUGGGAAGUUCGUUAAACCUUAUCAUUUAGAGGAAGGAGAAGUCGUAACA
rnacentral:rRNA from 1 species